rnacentral:rRNA from 1 species
AGUUGUAUCCUGGCUCAGGAUGAACGCUGGCGAGAUGCUUUACACAUGCAAGUCGUACGAGAGUCUUUGACUCAAGUGGCGGACGGGUGAGUAACACGUAAGAAUUUGCCUUUAGGAGGGGGACAACAACUGGAAACGGCUGCUAAUACCCCAUAUGCUUUCGAGUGAAACGGAUUUUUCCGCCUAGAGAGAAGCUUGCGGCUGAUUAGCUUGUUGGUAAGGUAAUGGCUUACCAAGGCGACGAUCAGUAUCUGGUUUGAGAGGAUGAUCAGACACACUGGAACUGAGACACGGUCCAGACUCCUGCGGGAGGCAGCAGCGGGGAAUUUUCCGCAAUGGGCGAAAGCCUGACGGAGCAAUCUCGCGUGAGGGAUGACUGCCUAUGGGUUGUAAACCUCUUUUUUCAGGGAGGAAUAAAUGACGUGUACCUGAAGAAUAAGCAUCGGCUAACUCCGUGCCAGCAGCCGCGGUAAUACGGAGGAUGCAAGUGUUAUCCGGAAUCACUGGGCGUAAAGCGUCUGUAGGUUGUUUAAUAAGUCAACUGUUAAAUCUUGAAGCUCAACUUCAAAAUCGCAGUCGAAACUGUUAGACUAGAGUAUAGUAGGGGUAAAGGGAAUUUCCAGUGGAGCGGUGAAAUGCGUAGAUAUUGGAAAGAACACCGAUGGCGAAGGCACUUUACUGGGCUAUUACUGACACUCAGAGACGAAAGC